UACGUAGGGGGCGAGCGUUGUCCGGAUUUAUUGGGCGUAAAGAGCGUGUAGGCGGUCCGGUAAGUCCGCUGUGAAAGUCCAGGGCUCAACCCUGGAAUGCCGGUGGAUACUGCCGGGCUAGAGUCCGGAAGAGGCGAGUGGAAUUCCUGGUGUAGCGGUGAAAUGCGCAGAUAUCAGGAGGAACACCGGUGGCGAAGGCGGGUCUCUGGGCCGAUACUGACGCUGAGGAGCGAAAGCGUGGGGAGCGAACAGG
rnacentral:rRNA from 1 species